GGUCAAUCCCUUUAAUUGCUGAAGAGUGAAGGAUUUUUUUUUCUUUUUCUUUUUUUUCUGGUUAUUUUCUUUAUUUACAUUUCAAAAGUUAUACACUUUUCCAGUUUCCCUCCCUUCUGGAAACAACCUGUCACACCCACCCUCCCCCUGCUUCUAUGAGGGUGUUCCUCCAACCAUCCACCCACUCCCACCUCCCUGCCCUUGAUUCCCCUACACUCGGACAUCUAUGGAGCCUUUAUAGGACCAAGGAUUAAUGCAUGACAAGGCCAUUCUCUGCUACAUAUGCAAGUGGAGCCAAGUGUUGGUGGCUUAGUCACUGGGAGUUCUGGGGGGGACUUUAGGAUAGCAUUUGAAAUGUAAAUGAAGAAAAUAUCUAAAAAAAUGAAAAAAUAAAUAAAAUUGAAAUUGAUAUGUCCAUACAUGACAAUUCUAUGGAAAAAAAAAAGAAUUAUACCUCAACAUCAGUGAUAGACAUUAUCUCAGCAGAGUAAAGGAUUGAAAAAGAUAUUCCAAGUAAAUGAACCAUAGAAGCAAGCAGGUGUAGCUUCCUUAAUAUCUGGCAAAAAUAGAUAUCAAAAGAGAUGGUGAGAGACAAUUAAAAGGAAGAAUUCACCAAGAUGACUUUUUAAUUCUUGGCAUCUGUGCCACAAAUGCAAGUACACUCAUAUUUGUAAAAGAAACAUUACUAAAAUUUUAAUCACACAAUAAACUCCAUAUAUUAACAGUAGAAGGCUUUGGUACUCUCACUGAUGAACUGGUCAUCCAGAUAAAAACUAAACAAAGAAAUACUGGUGCUAACAAACACUGUGAAUCAAAUUUUGGGGCAGGAGGAGGGUAUGGGGGACUUUUGGGAUAGCAUUGGAAAUGUAAAGGAAGAAAAUACCUAAUAAAAAUAAUAAUAAUAAAAAAAUUACCCAAAUACAAAUGAAUAUACUUUUUUCUCAAACCCUACAAAACCUUCUCAAAAAUUCACUAUAAACCUGGUCACAAAGCAAGUCUCAACAGACACAAGAAAAUUUAAAUAAGCCCUAUCAUCCUAUCAGGCUACUAUUGAUUAAAACUGGAAGUCAACAGAAAUAGACACAACAGAAAGCCUACAAAUUCACGGAAAGUGAACCACAUCCUACAAAAUGACUUCAGGGUCAAAGUGGAAUUAAAGAAAUUAAAGACUUCUUAUAGUUCAUUGAAAAUGAAUGCACAAUAUACUCAAAGUUAUGGGACACAAUGAAAGCAGUACUAAGAGGAAAGUUCAUAGCACUAAAUGUAUUCAUGAAGAAACUGGGGGUGAUCUCAUACUAGCAACUUAAUUAUGAAGCUAAAAACCCUAAAAAAAGAAGUGAACACAUCCAAGAGAUGGCAGAAAAUAAUCAAACUGAGGGUGGGAAUUAAAAAAAAGAACAGAAACAAAGAGAACAAUACAAAAACUCAACGAAAUAAAUAAUUGGUUCUUUAAGAAAAUCAACAAGCAGCUAAAAGAGUCUGAUGUAGAUAUUUGUACCCAACCAAUGGACAGAAGCUGCAGACAACUGUGGUUGAAUUAGAGAAAAGCUGGAAAGAGCUGAGGAGAAGAGGGUGACCUUGUAGGAGGACCAGCAGUCUCAAUUAAUCUGGAUCUCUGAGAUCUCUCAGACACUGGACCACCAACCAGGUGAUAUGAGGCCCCCAACUCAUAUACAUUAGAGGGCUGCUGGGUCUUUGUUCAGUCAGAGAAGAUGUACCUAAUCCUCAAGAGACUGUAGGCCUCAGGGAGUUUAGAGGUCUGGUGGUAUGGAGAUGGGGACAUUCUCAUGGAGACAGGGGUGGGGUGGGGCGUGGGUGAACUAAGAGGGAAUAAAAUGUGGAGUGUAAAAUAGAUAAAUACAAUAAAAUAUUUUUAAAAAAUAAAAUCCACAAGACUGACAGAUUAUUAUGAAAACUAAUUAAAAGGCAGAGAAAAAGUACCAAAAUUGGCAAAAUCAGAAAGGAAAAGUGAGGCAUAACAAUAGACACUGGGUAAAUCCAAAGAAUCAUUUUGUCAUAGUUCAAAAACCUGUACUCUACAAAACUAGAAAAUCUAAAAGAAAUGGUUUAUUUUCUCAAUAGAUACUACUUACCAAAGUUAAAUCAAGACCAGAGAAACAAUUUAAAUAAAGAUAUAACUAUUAAAAAAUGGAAGCAGUAUAAAAAGUCUCCCCCUCAAAAAGAAAAAAAAAAAGAAGAAGAAAG
rnacentral:lncRNA from 1 species